UACGGAGGGUGCAAGCGUUAUCCGGAUUCACUGGGUUUAAAGGGUGCGUAGGCGGACAGGUAAGUCAGUGGUGAAAUCUCUGGGCUUAACCCAGAAACUGCCGUUGAUACUGCUUAGCUUGAAUCAAGUAGAGGUGGAUGGAAUAUUACAUGUAGCGGUGAAAUGCUUAGAUAUGUAAUAGAACACCGAUUGCGAAGGCAGUUCACUAUGCUUGUAUUGACACUGAGGCACGAAAGCGUGGGGAUCAAACAGG
rnacentral:rRNA from 1 species